UACGUAGGCAGCAAGCGUUGUUCGGAAUUACUGGGCGUAAAGAGUGUGUAGGUGGUGCUCUAAGUUUGGUGUGAAAUCUCCCGGCUCAACUGGGAGGGUGCAUCGAAAACUGGAAUGCUAGAGGAUGGGAGAGGUAAGCGGAAUUCCUGGUGUAGCGGUGAAAUGCGUAGAUAUCAGGAGGAACACCUGUGGUGUAGACAGCUUACUGGACCAUUUCUGACACUGAGACACGAAAGCGUGGGUAGCAAACAGG
rnacentral:rRNA from 1 species